GAUGAACGCUGGCGGCGUGCCUAAUACAUGCAAGUCGAGCGAACAGACGAGGAGCUUGCUCCUCUGACGUUAGCGGCGGACGGGUGAGUAACACGUGGAUCACCUACCUAUAAGACUGGGAUAACUUCGGGAAACCGGAGCUAAUACCGGAUAAUAUAUUGAACCGCAUGGUUCAAUAGUUAAAGACGGUUUUGCUGUCACUUAUAGAUGGAUCCGCGCCGCAUUAGCUAGUUGGUAAGGUAACGGCUUACCAAGGCAACGAUGCGUAGCCGACCUGAGAGGGUGGUCGGCCACACUGGAACUGAGAAACGGUCGAGACUCCUACGGGGGGCAGCAGUAGGGAAUCUUCCGCAACGGGCGAAAGCUUGACGGAGCAACGCCGCGUGAGUGAUGAAGGUCUUCGGAUCGUAAAACUCUGUUAUUAGGGAAGAACAAAUGUGUAAGUAACUAUGAACGUAUUGACGGUACCUAAACAGAAAGCCACGGCUAACUACGUG
rnacentral:rRNA from 1 species